rfam:Myotis lucifugus cont2.42547, whole genome shotgun sequence.
GAGACACCCCUCCAGGCAAGACUUGCUUCAGUGGGGCUUUGGUGCUCACUGAGUCUGCCCCCUGAGUGUGUCCCA